rnacentral:precursor_RNA from 1 species
GCUGAUUGUUGGAGGAACCUUGGACGAUAAAACUUGGCUCUUGCACUGACCACAACAGAUAUGCCAGGGUCUUCUAAGGGACGUUGGCG